UACGUAGGGCGCAAGCGUUGUCCGGAAUUAUUGGGCGUAAAGAGCUCGUAGGCGGUCUGUUACGUCCGCUGUGAAAACCCAGGGCUUAACCCUGGGCUUGCAGUGGAUACGGGUAGACUAGAGGCAGGUAGGGGAGAAUGGAAUUCCCGGUGUAGCGGUGAAAUGCGCAGAUAUCGGGAGGAACACCGGUGGCGAAGGCGGUUCUCUGGGCCUGACCUGACGCUGAGGAGCGAAAGCUGGGGAGCGAACAGG
rnacentral:rRNA from 1 species